UGCAGAUGUUUUUCCAGCAGCUUGUGGAGAGUCUCAUUUAAGCUUACAAGAUGCAAAAUAACCAAAACUUCAUCUAAAGUUUGGUGCAUUCUUAAAUUACGUGCUCUGAGAUCAGUUUGCCUGUGGCUUCCAAAGAUACCAAGCAAUUCGCAUGGAAUUCUGACCCAACCAGAAGUCUGGAGAUUACAGGUGGUCAUUGCAGGCAAGAUGCUGCAUGACCUGAUGAGUGUCUCCAGCAGCUUCUGUUUUUUUUAUUGCAAAUAAAUAGCUCUUUGCCCUACCCAUAACACCAUCAGGUUGCAUUUCCAUAUGUACUGCAGUAGAUUGGGGGAAAAAAAAAAAAAUUAUCACAAUUACUUGCAAUGAAAGCAAAAAGUACAAGAACUGAGAGAAGACAUUGAUACGUUAAAUAGGAAUUAAAGAUACAAAUGCAAAAUAGUGUGA